rnacentral:rRNA from 1 species
AUUGAACGCUGGCGGCAGGCCUAACACAUGCAAGUCGAGCGGAUGAGUGGAGCUUGCUCCAUGAUUCAGCGGCGGACGGGUGAGUAAUGCCUAGGAAUCUGCCUGGUAGUGGGGGACAACGUUUCGAAAGGAACGCUAAUACCGCAUACGUCCUACGGGAGAAAGCAGGGGACCUUCGGGACUUGAGCUAUCAGAUGAUCCUAGGUCGGAUUAGCUAGUUGGUGAGGUAAAGGCUCACCAAGGCGACGAUCCGUAACUGGUCUGAGAGGAUGAUCAGUCACACUGGAACUGAGACACGGUCCAGACUCCUACGGGAGGCAGCAGUGGGGAAUAUUGGACAAUGGGCGAAAGCCUGAUCCAGCCAUGCCGCGUGUGUGAAGAAGGUCUUCGGAUUGUAAAGCACUUUAAGUUGGGAGGAAGGGCAGUAAGUUAAUACCUUGCUGUUUUGACGUUACCGACAGAAUAAGCACCGGCUAACUUCGUGCCAGCCGCCGCCGUAAUAC